UUAUAUUUAGGGUCCUCCAGGUCCUCCCGGUCCAAUAGGAGCACCAGGAGCUAGGGGUGAGAAAGGUUCUAAAGGUCAGCAGGGAGCGAGAGGCCUCAAAGGAGAAGCAGGAGAAGUAGGAGAUAAGGGAGAAACCGGAGUAUCAGGAAGGGAUGGACAGAAGGGGGCUCGAGGUAUACCAGGAAAAAGAGGAGAGCCCGGAGCUAAAGGAGAACAGGGAUUCAUAGGAGCUCCUGGUUUAAGAGGAGAACCUGGGAUUAUAGGAUUGCCAGUUUAAAUAUUACAGGGCCCGACAGGUUUGACGGGAAAACCCGGUAUCCCUGGAUUUAAAGGAGACAAAGGAGAUGCGGGAGAACCAGGUAAACCAGGAAACGUGGCAAGAGCGGGAGAUCCAG